CUGAAUAAUAAUGACUUUCUUUUAUUUCCAAUUCUACCAAAGAGGACAGAAGAAGCAGCCCAAAGUAAAAGACUUGAAGAAAUAUAGGCAAUGUAAGUAGGAUUAAGUGAUUUUGCUGUUUGUGGCGUUUCCUCGAAGUAGCUGGUUACCUCCAAAUGGGACGACAGUCAUGGAUGUUGAGAUGGCCUACGUCGCAGACUCGCGAGGACGGGCGGCUGGAUGUUCGCUAGCGACCUACGACAGCUACAGGCUUUCUGCCUAUGCCUGUAGAAGGGGACUUUGAGAUGUCAUGCUGAAGUUUUCUGGAGAUUAUCUGGUUUCAUUUUUGGGAAGCAGUCCACAUGGAAAAAUGAUGCAGCCAAACUAAAGAUAUGCUCGAUUGGUUCUUUCUAAUGUCCCUGUUAUUAAGAAGCAGGAAAAAUUGAAGAAUAAGAGAGGGAAAAUGUCAAAUUUACUUGGUCUACAACAAAGAAACCCUUUUAUUUGAUUGCUGUUCAUCAUAUACAAGUUCACAGACAAGUCCUUUAACAAUGAGAAAAUGUUUAAACAAAAUUGUGCUUAAAAAUGUUUUGAUUUAUGUACAUUAAUCUGAAUAAUAAUGACUUUCUUUAUUUCCAAUUCUACCAAAGAGGACAGAAGAAGCAGCCCAAAGUGAAAGACUUGAAGAAAUAUAGGCAAUGUAAGUAGGAUUAAGUGAUUUUGCUGUUUGUGGCGUUUCCUCGAAGUAGCUGGUUACCUCCAAAUGGGACGACAGUCAUGGAUGUUGAGAUGGCCUACGUCGCAGACUCGCGAGGACGGGCGGCUGGGAUGUUCGCUAGCGACCUACGACAGCUACAGGCUUCCUGCCUAUGCCUGUAAAAGGGGACUUUGAGAUGUCAUGCUGAAGUUUUCUGGAGAUUAUCUGGUUUCAUUUUUGGGAAGCAGUCCACAUGGAAAAAUGAUGCAGCCAAACUAAAGAUAUGCUCAAUUGGUUCUUUCUAAUGUUCCUGUUAUUAAGAAGCAGGAAAAAUUGAAGAAUAAGAGAGGGAAAAUGUCAAAUUUACUUGGUCUACAACAAAGAAACCCUGAUUGCUGUUGAUCAUAUACAAGUUCACAGACAAGUCCUUCAACAAUGAGAAAAUGUUUUAAAAAAAUUGUGCUUAAAAAUGUUUUGAUUUGUGUACAUUAAUCUGAAUAAUAAUGACUUUCUUUUGUUUCCAAUUCUACCAAGGAAAAUAGCCAUACAAUUUUUAUAGAUUUAUAGAUAUAGAAAUGAAAAUGUACAUAAGACAUCAAACAAUAUAUUUAUUUGAAUUUGUUUCAUUCAUAUCUCCAAACACGAGUUGAUUAUAUAGGGAAUCACUGAAGCAUGAAGUGCCCCCCCUUUUUUUAUGUCAGUCAGAGGGGCCCCUUAUAAAAAGUGCUGGAUCUGCCACUGAUUAAACAUGUUUGUGAGUGCUCAACCAACAAUGGACUAACCUGUUACAAUAAGAAUAAACUGAAAAAUAUGGUUCUAUUGGCUUUACUCCAUAGAUUGGUACGAGGCACAUAAAUCACAACGAACAUAGAAAGUAGACACAAAGAAAUAAAUCAUGUUUUUAUGCCCCAUUCAUGGGCAUUAUGUUUUCUGGUAUGUCUGUCCGUUAUUUCGUUCGUACGUCUGUCCGUCCCGCUUCAGGUUAAAGUGUUUGGUCGAGGUAGUUUUUGAUGAACUUGAAGUCCAAUCAACUUGAAACUAAGUACUCAUGUUCCCUAUAUGAUAUUUCUAAUUUUAAUGUUUAAUGAGAGAUUUUCUUCCCUUUUCACGGUCCACUGAAUAUAGAAAAUGAUAGUGCAAAUGGGUGGGGCAUCCGUGUAGUGUUGACACAUUCUUGUUUUAACUGAAGUAUCAUUAAUAUUCACAGACUAAUUGAGUUUCGUGGGGUGGAACCAGGGUUUUCACAUGAAGCUCGAUUUUUAAGCAAGACAAAAUUUUGUUUUUUUACAUCAUUCAUAUCCUAUUUGCCAAAAAUAAAUCCAGAAUAUUUUUUUGUAACUGAAUAUAUAAGUCAGAUUAUUUGUUUAAACAUUACAGAUUAGCUUUGGGCUUGUCCUUAAGGAUUGAGACUGAAAAUGGCAAUUGGAUCAGACUUUUAAAGUAAGUUUUAAUCAUUACAUAGAUUUUUUAAUUUCUGAACUCAAUUCAUGUGUAAAAUGGGAGUUUGCGUGGGGUAUAAUAUUUUUGACCUGUCUGUCCUGUUCGUCAGCCUGGUUCUUGUCAUUGCAACUCCUCUAAAACCACAAUUUCAUAAAACAAGGUAGUAUGUACACAAUACUAUGUAGUUGUGCAUAUAAAGAAGAAAUUAUGAGUCAAUUUUUUUUUCUAGGGGUUACGUUAUGCCCCUCUGAACUUAAAUUAAGGCCUAUACUGCUGUAACAGUUGCACUACAAGUCCUUUGAAACUGCACAACAGAAUUUCAUGGAUCUUUAAAGUUAAUGAGGACAGUAUGGCAUAUCCACAAGAAAUGUUUAUCAGUUGACUUUUUUCUAUCAAUACAAGCACAACAGAUUUCUUUAACAAGUAUAUCUAUAGUGCUUGGAUUGACCUGUAAAAGGAAUAUUUCAUACAAGUAUACUGCUUUUAUUAUUUGUUUAUAGGCUGAUGUAAGGACUGGUUCCAUGGUGUUGAAAGUAAGAAUUGACGAUCUGAUACUGCAAACAUAUUGGUAGAUAUACCUAAAUUUUUAUCCCCCACAUAACACCAUAAUAUCUCGGACAAGUUCUAUAAUGGUGAACGAUCAACUUUUUUUAAUAUAAUUAUGGCCUAUGGAAAUAUUAAAUAAGUGCAACGAGUGGGACAUUGGAACUAUAUUCUUUUAUUUUAAUCUAAAAGUGUUUGGAUGUCAAUUAAAUAACGAUUCGGGUAUCGUAAAGAUUGCAUUACAUGGAGAUAUUCAGCUCCAGAGGUAAGAGGGUACAUAAUUGUCCAAGAUAGUAGAGAUACUGUCAACGUUUGAAACAGAAAUUGUUUUGGGGAUAUCAUUGCUUUCUAGCAAUCUGUAGACUUAUACCAUUGGCUCAGGGCCAUGCCCUCACGUCAACCAUUUUAUUCUAAACAUUAAGGAACAUCUCAGAUUCUUAUGAUUGUCUUGCUUGAAAAGGUAAAAAAAACCAAAGGGGUGGAACUUAAACAACUUUCCUAUAAUGUUCUUUUCAUAAUCUUCAUGUUUGAUAUUUCCCUCGACUUAUAUGCAUGUUUUUAACAACACGGAAAGUCAGAAUUGAGCAGUAUUUAUAUUUAGUGUUUUUAUAAAUUUAGAAACACGUCAGAAGGAAUUCCCCAGUUUUGAUAAAAAUGCAAGAGUUCUCUGAAUUCCUGAAAAAUUCUAUUUCUGUCAUAAAAACUGAUGUGGAGUUUUUCUUAUAUGUCACCGUUAUGAAACUGAUAUUUGAUAUUGUACUUCCAUAAAGAAAUAGAGAACCUUUAACAUUUAAUAUACGUUCUUGCUUCAGGGUUUGUUUAGGUAAUUAUGUGCAUGUGUAUAGUUUUCUCGACUUCAAGGGAUAUUAGAUUGAAUGGUUGCUCUGGAUUCCCCACUCAACCUGUGAACAGUAUAUCCAAGGAUUUGUAUAGUAAGAUCCUUGGUAUAUAUAUCUAAAUAAUAUAUAUGUUCCUGACUCAACUGAUUCUAAAACAAUACAACACAUCGAGAAAAAUUAACUUGUUCUAUCGAUAAACGUCGUAUUAUAUUAAAAACCAUCGCAAUUUAAACCAUGGAAUGUGUACAGAAAUAAGUCAUGACCAUUGACCCAAAGGAAAUUAAAUAUUUAAAGAGUUAGGAAUGGGGUUCCUCCUAGAAUUAACGUAGGAAAAAUUAUAGGUGAUAAGAUACCAAGUGAAAUACGUUCUCUCACUCUGAGUCUCAGUGACUGCUGUGGAAAGUAAACUUGGAAGUGAUAGUACAAAAAUAAAACACAACAAGUACAUUGUUCGAACUGUUACACUUGUAUCUGGGAUUAGUUAUUUUGUAACUAUUCAGAUUACGUAAAUUAUAUUUUACAUGUGCAGUUGAAUUAGUUUUAAAAAUAAUAAUAUCCAGCUACAUGCAUGUAUACAUGUAUCAAUGAAAACAAUGGCAAUCGUAUCCCUCAGAGCAAUCUGCUCUUUGAUUGACUUUUUUUAAUUUAUCUAGAUUUAAACUAAAUAUCCACUGGAUUUCUUGAGUAGGAGUUAUGAAACAAAGUACCAAUCAAUCAACCAACUUUCUAUCAUUUAAUAUCCACAGAAAUCCAUGUUUUCCUUAAUCACAAUGUAAAUCAUUUAAUCCACUGUCGAUUUUUGAAGAGUUUACAGCUAAUUUCCUAAUGCUUGUAGAGUAAAACGUUGGUUGGCUUGCUUGCUUUGUUUGUAUAAUUGUUUAUUCAAGCUUUGUAAUUAAGAUUGACAUCUCCAAACAAUAUAUAUGACAUAGUUAAACCUGUAUAUAUCAUAUUUAAAUUCAAUUGGACAUUUUCCCAAUAUAAUUGUACAAUAUACAAACAAAGCAAGCAAACUAACCAAAGUCUUCAUCUGCAUGCAUUAGGAAAUUAGCUGUAUAUAACUGAUUCAACUUUGUAUUACAGGUAAGCAUCACAGCUUGUCCUGUUGGAUACUGGCCGGAGUAGAAUUUGGAUCUUUUUGA
rnacentral:lncRNA from 1 species